rnacentral:rRNA from 2 species
GAAUGCUGACAUAAGUAACGAUAAAGCGGGUGAAAAGCCCGCUCGCCGGAAGACCAAGGGUUCCUGUCCAACGUUAAUCGGGGCAGGGUGAGUCGACCCCUAAGGCGAGGCCGAAAGGCGUAGUCGAUGGGAAACGGGUUAAUAUUCCCGUACUUGGUGUUACUGCGAAGGGGGGACGGAGAAGGCUAUGUUGGCCGGGCGACGGUUGUCCCGGUUUAAGCGUGUAGGUGUGUGUUCCAGGUAAAUCCGGUUCACUUUAACACUGAGGCGUGACGACGAGGCACUACGGUGCUGAAGCAACAAAUGCCCUGCUUCCAGGAAAAGCCUCUAAGCAUCAGGUAACAUCAAAUCGUACCCCAAACCGACACAGGUGGUCAGGUAGAGAAUACCAAGGCGCUUGAGAGAACUCGGGUGAAGGAACUAGGCAAAAUGGUGCCGUAACUUCGGGAGAAGGCACGCUGACACGUAGGUGAAGUGAUUUACUCAUGGAGCUGAAGUCAGUCGAAGAUACCAGCUGGCUGCAACUGUUUAUUAAAAACACAGCACUGUGCAAACACGAAAGUGGACGUAUACGGUGUGACGCCUGCCCGGUGCCGGAAGGUUAAUUGAUGGGGUCAGCGCAAGCGAAGCUCCUGAUCGAAGCCCCGGUAAACGGCGGCCGUAACUAUAACGGUCCUAAGGUAGCGAAAUUCCUUGUCGGGUAAGUUCCGACCUGCACGAAUGGCGUAAUGAUGGCCAGGCUGUCUCCACCCGAGACUCAGUGAAAUUGAACUCGCUGUGAAGAUGCAGUGUACCCGCGGCAAGACGGAAAGACCCCGUGAACCUUUACUAUAGCUUGACACUGAACAUUGAGCCUUGAUGUGUAGGAUAGGUGGGAGGCUUUGAAGUGUGGACGCCAGUCUGCAUGGAGCCGACCUUGAAAUACCACCCUUUAAUGUUUGAUGUUCUAACGUGGACCCGUUACCCGGGUUGCGGACAGUGUCUGGUGGGUAGUUUGACUGGGGCGGUCUCCUCCUAAAGAGUAACGGAGGAGCACGAAGGUUGGCUAAUCCUGGUCGGACAUCAGGAGGUUAGUGCAAUGGCAUAAGCCAGCUUGACUGCGAGCGUGACGGCGCGAGCAGGUGCGAAAGCAGGUCAUAGUGAUCCGGUGGUUCUGAAUGGAAGGGCCAUCGCUCAACGGAUAAAAGGUACUCCGGGGAUAACAGGCUGAUACCGCCCAAGAGUUCAUAUCGACGGCGGUGUUUGGCACCUCGAUGUCGGCUCAUCACAUCCUGGGGCUGAAGUAGGUCCCAAGGGUAUGGCUGUUCGCCAUUUAAAGUGGUACGCGAGCUGGGUUUAGAACGUCGUGAGACAGUUCGGUCCCUAUCUGCCGUGGGCGCUGGAGAACUGAGGGGGGCUGCUCCUAGUACGAGAGGACCGGAGUGGACGCAUCACUGGUGUUCGGGUUGUCAUGCCAAUGGCACUGCCCGGUAGCUAAAUGCGGAAGAGAUAAGUGCUGAAAGCAUCUAAGCACGAAACUUGCCCCGAGAUGAGUUCUCCCUGAGACUUAAAGUCUCC